GUGAGUCAUCGAGUCUUUGAACGCACAUUGCGCCCCUCUGGUAGUUCCGGAGGGCAUGCCUGUUCGAGCGUCAUUAUCAACCCUCAAGCCCCUGGCUUGGCGUUGGAGGCCUGGCUUGGACUCUUGUCCCGGCCGCUCCCAAAGAUAACGACGGCGUCCUGGUGGAUCCCUGGUACAAUGAGCUUUCCAAGCACGUACUGUGGCUGUCCCGGGCACCGGUCUCAACCCCAUUUAUUUCACAAGGUUUGACCCUCGGAUCAUGGUAGGGUAUACCCGCUGAACUUAAGCAUAUCAAUAAGGCGAGG
rnacentral:rRNA from 1 species